AUCCUACGGGGGGCAGCAGUAGGGAAUUUUCGUCAAUGGGCGCAAGCCUGAACGAGCAAUGCCGCGGGAACGAGAAAGGUCUUCGGAUCGUAAAGUUCUGUUGAAGGGGAAAAAGAGCGGAGAGAGGAAAUGAACUCCGAUUGAUAUUACCCUACGAGGAAGUCACGGCUAACUACGUGCCAGCAGCCGCGGUAAUACGUAGGUGGCGAGCGUUAUCCGGAAUGAUUGGGAGUAAAGGGUGCUUAGGCGGCCUGCUAAUUCUGGAGUGAAAGGUACCGGCUCAACCGGUACAUGCUCUGGAAACC
rnacentral:rRNA from 1 species